UGUGCAGGCAGAGCUCCUAUCCAGCAGAAGAAAUGCUGACAUCUAUGCAAAGAUCGCUCAUGGAAUGGGGGAGAAGGGCUACACGAGGGACACACAGCACUGCCAUGUGAAAAUAAAAAAACUUCGCCAAGCAUACGAGAAGGCAAGGGAGGUGAACAGUCAUUCUGGUGCUGAACCCCACGUAUGCGGGCUCUACAACGAGCUGCAUGCGAUUCUCAGGGGUGACCCUACCAGCAUCCUCACAAGUAAGUGGACACCUCACAGAUGUGAGUCUAGGGACAACAAGGAGGACGAUUUGGUGGAUGAGGAAGAGGAGGAGGAGAAUGGGAAACAGGCAAGCGGUGGAUCCAUUCUCCCCGAGAACCAGGAAAGAUUUUUAACCCUGGAGCCCUGUGGGUCGUAGGACAUCACGGUGGCUGACCGUGAUGCCAGGAAAGGCACCUCUGGGAAAAAAUAAAAGAGCUGGAAAUGUGUCCUUUGGCGUGUCAUCAACACCUGAAAGCAGACUUUCACUGAUUAGAAGGAGGAGAAAGAAAGAGAACGCAGGAGGACAUGUUCACCGAGAUAGCGAACGCUUCCGGGACAGCUGAAACAGAGCGGAGAGCGUGGAGGAUUUCACUGUCCAAAAACUUAGACGUGGACAACGAAGAGCAGGAAAGCUUCCAGUGAGCAAGAGCGUGCAGAACAGGAUGAGAUGCUUUGGAUUAUGAAGUACCAAGCAGACAUGUUGAGGUGUCUGGUUGAACUGCAGGAACAGAAGCAGAAGGGUAGAGUCCCUCUGCAGACCCUGGUGGACAGCCAGCCAUCAUCGCCUGGUGCAGAAUCACCCUCCACCAAGUGUUCCAUGAGGCCUGGGCAAAAAGUCCAUUAUCCCUUUCACUUACUUCGGGGAGGGUACAAGGAACAGAAGGCGCCCAUUCACAGAUCUUUGAUGGUCUGGAAUGCGGUGUUAUGUUACACAGCUGAAAAUGUUUUUCCAGUUCCAACUUUAAAGCCCCUUUUCCCCAAGGUUACAUUUUUUUUCUAUUCUCCCUCUUUACUUAUGUUUGUUAAAUAAAGUAAAUGGAUUUGAGAAA